CGAGGUGUAGCGCAGUUGGUAGCGCGCUUGGUUUGGGACCAAGAUGCCGCAGGUUCGAAUCCUGUCACCUCGACCA
rnacentral:tRNA from 1 species